CGUCCUUUUGGGGGAGUGGCUCAAACUUUUCUCUCAGAGGCGGAAGUCAUGGCCGGUCCUCCUGUUGUUAUAUGGAAGCAAGAAGUGCAGCGUCUGUUGCGUUACAGAGAGCUGGUCCCUCGUCUGGAGGACGCUUUGGGGAAAUUCUCCAGACGAGACAGCGCAGAGGUGAUCCAGCCUGUGCGCUGCACGCUUCCCCUGCAGAAACACCACGGCUUCCUAGGAUCAAUGCCGACGUACAUGGAGAAUGAUGGAGUUCUGUGCACAAAGCUCGUGUGUUUCUACCAGAGGGAGGCUGGUUCAACUCUGCCAGCCGUACAAGCAACAGUGAUGCUGCUGGACCCAGAGUAUGGGAAUGUAAAGGCUGUCAUUGAUGGAGACGAAAUCACAGGAAUGAGGACAGCUGCGGUCUCGGCCAUCUCUGCUAAGCUGCUGAUGUGCCCUGAAGCAGAGGUUUUGGCCAUUUUGGGGACUGGCAAACAGGCCUUGACUCAUUACAAUGUCUUCACAGAAAUGUUUCCAUUUAAAGAGGUGCGUGUGUGGAGCCGCACGAGACAGGGAGUGGAGAGGUUUUGCCGCUCUGUCAGUGGUCCGGUGACGGCAUGCGUCUCAGUGGAGGAGGCGGUGAGGGGAGCAGACGCCAUAGUGACGGUAACCAGCAGCACAGAGCCAGUGCUCUUUGGUCGCUGGGUCAAACCAGGAGCCCACGUGGCCGCGGUGGGGGCUUGCAGGCCAGACUGCCGGGAGAUGGACGAUGUGUUGAUGAAGGAGGCGGUGGUGUACAGUGACAGCAGGGAGGGAGCAAUGACAGAGUCCGGUGACGUCAUCCUCUCUGGGGCUGAGGUGUUUGCUGAGCUUGGAGAUGUUAUUAAUGGGACAAAACCUGCACACAGAGAGAAGACAACAGUCUUCAAAUCCCUAGGAAUGGGAGUUGAAGAUGCAGUGUCUGCUAAGCUGAUAUUUGACCAAUGGAAAGCCAAAGGCAGCCUACCAUGAGGUGGCCAUGUGUUUCAACCCUGACCUCUUUGUUACACAUUCAUGGCCCACAAGCUAAUCAAGAUCAAGAUGACAGCUGAGGUCCAGACUAAAAUUGAGGACGGCGUCAGCCAAUGGCGUCGAGCAUAUGAACUCAGAGAUCUUAACCACCCCAUGUGGGCAAAUAACAAUUUGCAUUUGUUUUUAUUACUAAACCAUAUAGCUUUCCUACCUGUAGACAGACGGGUAACAAAUAAACACUACAUUACUGUAAUAAGACAGAAUUGACUAAGGCAGCUGGAUUGGUCUUAAUCAAAAAGUGAACUGAAUCAAAUUUGUGAACUCAUUCAGCAGACUCUACAAAGCGCUACCUUUUAAUUUAUACUUUGAAGCUUUCUAAAUGGUUGUUUUCCACAGCAAUGCUCCUAUUUUUAUUUGACCUUUAAAAUAAAAAGUCUGAUUUGUUGCACUGAGGAUUUAACUCAGACUUGUAUUCAAGUGUGUAAUGUCCCGACAGUAACCUGUUAAUAUAAACAUGUCUUUAACAGCCCUGACUAAAUAUAACAAAUGUUUUCUUAGUUCACCAGUUUCUUUCACAUGUUGCACACCUGUUGUGAUCAAGUUUGAUUUAAUAAAAGCUUUAAAAAAUAAAUUUAAAUCUAUUGGUUGUCUGUAUUUUUGUAGCUUUUCAUAAAAUAUUUGGUUUGAGUGUUUUGCUUCAAGAGAAAAUUGUGUAAAUAGCAUAUCGUGAACUAUUAAAAGAUGCGACUCAAACUACAAUACAACUUUUUUCAACAUGCUAUACUAUGACUUUAUGAUUUAUUUUUUUCCGACACGCCAUACUAUGACUUAAUGACCUUUUUCAAUA